UUUUUUUUUUUCCAUCAGACCUUAGUAACAAUAUUUGAUUCACUAGAAAUCGGGUGUAAACUCCAAGCGAUGAUAUUAUAAACAUCGACUGUAAAAAUGCCAUUGACAAAACACCCACGGAUAUAUGUUUGUGUAUUAUUUCUUAAAUUUUCGAUAGCUGAUUCUACUGAAAACUACACAUCAAAGCGAAAAAAUAUCGAUAGCAAAUUGAUGAUAAUUAACAGUCUAUAUUACAGUAUGAUGUCGUUUACUUUUGUGCAUCAGAAAAAAAACCGCAGAUACAUGAAACAACAACACACUGUUGUAGACUCUGCAAGUAAAUCUGAAAUUUUUAAUCAUAAGUCGUACACCGAAAUAGCGAUCUUUAUUAAUUGAACCAUGAAAUAUUUGUUUACAAAACAAUUUAUUCGAAUAAUAUUUGAAUUUAAAUCGCAGAUUGUAUGAUACCAAUACAUAAUUCAUGGCAUGAACAAAUAUUUCAUGGGUCAAUCAAUAUUCAAUUUUUAACCUAUGGAAAAAAGUCAACAAACGAAGCAAAUACCUGUUUUUAAUACAUAUAGGUGGUACUCCGUUUCAAUUAUUUUAUACAAUACAUU